UCAUUUGGAAUCCUACUGGUCGAAAUUCCUCUUGUGUUGAAUCAAGUAAACCUAGUCACAUUGGUGAUAGUAUCACAACAUCUCGUUCACUUGACACCGAUUUCUAGAACAAACUCAGUUAAACCGUUGGAUUCUUAUUGAUGCAAAAUGUCUUUACAUUCAUAUAAUUCGAAUAAGUUUUAAUUCGUUUACGGGGUCAUUCACUUUUGUAUUAUUCGGACAUACCUAGGAACGACACAACUCUGCGGAGAUAACAUAAUCUAAAUUUCGAGGACGAAAUUUCUGCAACAGGGGGAGAAUGUGACAACCGGUAAUUAACGGCUUCUAGUUACACGAUUAACAAACGUUUAAGAUGAUAAGAAACAGUGUUUAAGGCACGGAUUAAGUAAAUUAGGCUACUGGAAUGCCUAGGGACGCUUAUCCGACGUUACAAUGCGCGUACAGUGAUUUUGGGGAAAUAUGCUGAACGAUAAACGGAAACGAACUGACACCGUACAUAAUACUGACAACGCAAACAAAUACGAAUUUUAUACGUAUAAUUUAAGCAUACGGAUUUGUUUUUUUUGCGAAUUUAUCGUGCUUUUGAAUGUCAGAAGGCACAAAUAUAAACGAAAAAAAAACGCGACUUCAGGAACGCACCGACAACAAAACGGAAGCACCGGAUGCGAGUUACGUCUCGACAUUAAUAUAUUAUGAUAUAUUUGACUUCGUUUUCGAACUUUUAUAUCCACGGUUGAAACCAUAGCAAAAAAAAAAAAAAACAAAAACAAAACAAAACAAGUUGUCUUCGCUAGUGAACAAUUUGGACAACCAACCAAUUAAUUUAUUCAUGCUUUUUAGUUCUUGUACUCAUUUACACAGAAAGAAAAAUCGUUGGAUUGGCUUUAUCAGCCACUUUCCUAACACAUGUUAUCCUCAUAUUUUUUUUAGUAUGUGUAGCAUUAUUAUAUUAGUUUUUUUCAAGCUACUUGGUCAACAAAUUUCUAGACAUUUUCUUCAUCCCACAUAGUAAAAAGAAAAGAAAUACAUGACAAAAGGCCAUCAUGUUGUUCAUGCGUACAAGUAAUGUUCAUAGUUAUUUAAAUAAUACAAGGGCCAUACCAAUGUGGUUUCUAUUGAAGCAUAAAGGCACCUAACCUUAUCCAUUGCUGAUUCACUCCUAAAAUACACAAACACCCACCUUUAGCUCCUCUCCAAAAACCCCCAGCUUUGAUAUCUCUCUAAAUCGAAGAAACCGGCGUCGAUUCUCCGGUGAAACCCCACCCUUUUUGCUUCAGUCCAACCACCUGACACCCCCCCCACACCUGGUAGAUUUAAUAGAGAAACAGAGAGAGGCCGAGCAGAAGAGGAUACGGAAGAAGAAGGGAGAACCGGCGGAGCCAGUGCCGUUGUCGACGGCGGCGGUGGUUCCGGUAACUCUCUCUCGAGUCAUAGCAGCCGCGGGUCCUCGAUAAAACACCGUGUGGCCGACGAUUUGGUGGAUAUCAACGGCAAUAGUGGCGGCGGAGGUGACGUCCGGUCACCGUGAACAGUUUCGAGCGACUCUCAGGUUCCCUUGAUGACGGAUUUGGGUUCGUGAACGGUCCGAUUCAGAUCAACUUUAGGGUGGUUCGAGUCAGUUUAGUUCAGGUCAACACAGUCGAACCGGGUCAACUCAGCUUCGACUCGGUCAACGGUUCAAAACAGUCGACAGAAUGGUUCGGGUUCGCGACUCAGUUCGGUGUCGGGUCAGGCACACGACUCCGAUAGUGGUUCGGGUACACGUCGGUCAGUUUUACUCUAGGUCAAACAAGUCAGUUUGGUUCGGUCAAAAUCAGCAGCUCUUGGUUUCGGGUUCGGUCAACUGGUCAACACGGGUCAACACCGGUCAACAGAAGUCAAGGAUGGUCAACUGGUCAUAGAAGACCCGGAAUGUCAUAGUUGCACGCUAGCUACUUCACGUUCUUGGAACGACACUACGGAAGCACACUAAGUUAGCUUUGUACAGGAAUAUCAAGGUUGCAUUUUUCAAAACUACGGAACGGUUAGAAUAAGAGAACCCACGGGAUUUCGAGCACUUAGUGGCGUUCAUUUUCUAGAAGUCUUAGCUUAUUUGCUUCCGCUGUGCAAUGAAGAUACCGGUCCAGUCACACCAGCUCUGAUAAUUUCGGGGUGUGACACGGUGAAACCUUUUUAGACCUAUAGGUGAAAAAUAAAACAUUUGGACUAAAUUGGCAAAAUAACCCAAACCACAGGAACUAAAAUGACAUUUAACUCUAAAUAUAAUAAAUAUAUUUAUUCUUACACAACUUGUUAGCCCACCAAUUAAUUUGAUUUUAAUUCUAACUAGUGAACUUCCCCCGCGUGUUGCGGCGGGAAAUCAGUUGAUAUCGGUUCAAUUCAGAAAAUUAUUGGUACCAUAAUCGACACUUUGUAUAGCGACCGAAAUAUCAACCCCAAACAAUAAAGUCAUGAUAUGCUCAAAAAUAUAUCUACACUAUUUUACAUCAAUAAAAAAACUAUAAAAAUAAAUACCGAUAAAGGUUUCAAAAGUAUAAAUUUACAUGGAUAAAAAACUAUAUAAAUAAAUACCGAUAAAGGUUUCAAAAGUAUAAAUGCCGGUACCGAUGUUCGGUUGAAAUUGACGUAGUACCAAUGUUGUUCAGACUAUCAGUUUUGUUCUUCACCGACAUUGGCUAUAGCUUAUGAUAUAAAAGGUACUUGUACUGCAACCAAAGGUGUUUAGACAAUAUCGGUCCAGUUUCACGGUCAUAAACAAAAAAAAAAUCAAUUAUAUUUGACUCAUUCAAAUUUGAACAAAGCUUUUAUCGAAAUGCAUAUUAAAUAAGCAUGUCACAACAGUGUAUUUAGAGUUUUAUAAAGCAGUAUACUAUAUUAUUAAAAUAACGAAAGAAGGUAAACGAUGUCAGUUUAUAAAAUAUCGUAUCUUAAAAGUUAUAAAAGAAAAACAAA